GACGAACGCUGGCGGCGUGCCUAACACAUGCAAGUCGAGCGGAGUCGAUCGACGGAAGCCUUCGGGCGGAAGAUGGUUGACUUAGCGGCGGAUGGGUGAGUAACGCGUGGGCAACCUGCCUCGAAGACCGGGAUAACAGUCCGAAAGGGCUGCUAAUACCGGAUGUGGUCAAGGAUCCGCAUGGAUUUUUGAUUAAAGGGGAAACCCGUUUCGAGAUGGGCCCGCGUCCUAUCAGCUAGUUGGUGAGGUAAAAGCUCACCAAGGCGACGACGGGUAGCCGGCCUGAGAGGGUGACCGGCCACACUGGAACUGAGACACGGUCUAGACUCCUACGGGGGGCAGCAGUGGGGAAUCUUCCACAAUGGGCGAAAGCCUGAUGGAGCGACGCCGCGUGAGCGAAGAAGGCCUUCGGUUGUAAAGCUCUGUCUGGAGGGACGAAGGAAGUGACGGUACCUCCGGAGGAAGCCACGGCUAACUACGUG
rnacentral:rRNA from 1 species